GCGGCCGGAGGGGGCGGGGGGCCUGCGGGGAGGCUGCCGGAGGGCUGCGCCAGCCUGAUCGGGCCCCUCGGCGCGCUCUUCGCCCCGAACGCAGCCUCCCGGCGGCCCUGCUCAUGCCUCCUCCUCCACGCUGGCCGCCGGAGCUCCCGUGGGGGCGCGGGGAAGUAUCACAGGAAGACGCUUGAACUCGAGACCUUCCCGGUCUUUCCUUUCGGAGCCCUGGAGUUACUUGGAAUUGCAGAGUAUUUCUUUUUAGCCACAUUGGUUGUGACAUCAAGGGGACGUUGGCGGAAGGGAGAGCGGGGACUGGACUCCGGUUGUCCCCACCCGGACACCGCACCCCGCGCGCUCGGCCGUGAACUCCGUGCCUCUGGCGCCGCGCAACCUGCAGGAAUGCGGAGAGAGGGUGGCGGGCGCCGGACCAAACCGGUCCGCACCGGGACGGACCCCCGCGCUGAGCUUUCACGGACUUCCCCUCCUGUUCACGGUAGAAGUCGCCCCCGGGGGUGGAGAGUCAACGCGUUAAGUGGCCGGGCCACGCAGGAAAAUCCGUGACCUUGAAGUCACCCAUCCCGUCUCCACCUGCUUGAACUUCGCUCUUGCCCACCUGCGUGUCUGUGAAACCCGCUCCCUGACCGCUCCUCGGCGCCAGCCUGAGAAUCCUUUCCUCCCCGCGGCCCCGGGUGCGGAGCAGCAGCCCCCGUGAGGCCGGCCGGGAGCUCCCGUGAGGCCCCUUGGCCGCUCCUGUGGCUGGGCGAGCCCGGGGCCCCGCUGGAUAUCAGCAGCGCUUCAGAAACCGGAAGGGACUCUCAGGUGUGAAUGUGCUGUAUAGACGGGGCACUCGCCCCUGGGGUGGAGACAGGCGUGUGGACUUCAGUAGCUGCCUCCUGGGUCGGUACCCAAGAGGGGGGGACAACUGCUUGUGAAUCGCAGAGGAAGGGGCAGCUAAUCGGUGGGGAAGCAGGAAAAGCGAGACCCUUUCAUUGCCUGGCAGUUCGAGUUUGUGAUCGCUCGUCUCUUUGCUUACGGACAGCUAUGGAAAUUGUCUUUCUGUAGCGUGUGCAUAACUGUAGCGGCUUUUUCUAUUGGUCCGUCUUUAUAGUUUCCUGAGUCGGAAUGUAUCUGGCAUCUCGGCGUCCUGUUCUUCGUAGCGUUUCGUCCUCCUUUGCCACCCUGGAGAACCUCGAGGGGAAUCCCAGCCGAGAGAGCGUAGUACACUCGGGGGGUUAUUUCAGCCGGCAGAUCAUGAAGCCCAGCGGAGCUGGAGCUUUGAGCCUCCGCGUCCAGAGGACCCUGUGGGGCUCCGUGACCCUGAAGGUGGAGGAACGCGCAUUCGAAGGGAGAAGCUGCGUACCAGGGAGCUCUUUCGCACGUGCUCGGACAGUUUGCUAUCCAGAGACACCUGGACCCCUUGAGCUCUGAGUGGCACGGGGCUGGGUGAGCUCUGCCACCGAUUGCUGAAGUCCAAGACCCCCGCGAGGAGCAGAUGUUGGACCGGUCAGUGCCGGAGCAGUUCCUGACCAUCCUGCCCGAGGAGCUGCGGCCCUGUUGCGGGAGCAGCAGCCCGAGAGCGGGGAGCAGGCCGCGGCUGUGCUGGCGAGUCUGGAGGGGAACCUGGAUGAGCCGGGAGAGCAGGUUUUGGCUAUUAUGAAUGAAGUCUGUCUGAAAAUACGCUUUCAUUUCUCUUGGGUAAGUAUACGGUAUAUGUAGGGGUGGCAUCGCUGAGUUGGAUGGUAAGUGUACUUAACGUUACAAGAAAACUGCCAAACUGAUUUCCAAACUAGCUGUGCUGUUUUGCAUUACCUUUAGUAUUUGUUUUUUAUGAAGAAAACAUAUUGUCCUAAAUAUUCACUAAGGGAUCGCAUAAUUAGAGUGACAUAUUUGGUUCUUCAGCUUUAAAAAGUCAGUCGGAAUUAUUUUAUCUUUUUUUUUUUUUUUAAGAUUUUAUUUAUUUAUUUGACAGAGAGAUAGAGCCAGAGAACACAAGCAGGGGGAGCGGCAGAGGGAGAGGGAGAUGCAGGCUCCUCGCUGAGCAGGGAGCCCGAUGCGGGGCUGGAUCCCGGACCAUGACCUGAGCCGAAGGCAGACGCUUCACCCGCUGGCCCCCCAGGUGCCCCCGAAUGAUUUCAUCUUACAAGGAAUCUGUGCAGUCCUGGACUGAUGAAGUUAGAUCAGUGAGAUUGUUGUGACUUCAAGCACCCGGACAGGAGGCGGGAGGCGGGGGGGGGGGGCGCUGAUACAAGUCUACAGGGGUAGACCAAACUACCACUGUACCAAGUAGACCCUGGACAACGUAAAGCGGUGUAGCCCAGUCACCUCACCGUCCGCGGGGAUUCUCGGUUGGUAGCGACGGGUGGGGGCGGGUGGAGAGGGUGCAGGUGGACCCACUUCCUCCUGUUGGUCCAUUUCUUCUCCAGGACUAAUGCGCUUUAAUCAUUGUAGCUUUCAAAUACAUUUUUAAAAGUUCUU